AGUGAACGCUGGCGGUAGGCCUAACACAUGCCCGUCGAACGGCAGCACAGUAAGAGCUUGCUCUUACGGGUGGCGAGUGGCGGACGGGUGAGGAAUACAUCGGAAUCUACUUUUUCGUGGAGGAUAACGUAGGGCAACUUACGCUAAUACCGCAUACGACCUACGGGUGAAAGCAGGGGAUCUUCGGACCUUGCGCGAUUGACUGAGCCGAUGUCGGAUUAGCUAGUUGGCGGGGUAAAGGCCCACCAAGGCGACCAUCCGUAGCUGGUCUCAGAGGAUGAUCAGCCACACUGGAACUGAGACACGGUCCAGACUCCAACGGGACGCAGCAGUGGAGAAUAUUGGAGAAUGGGCGCAAGCCUGAUCUAGACAUAACGCGUGGGUGAAGAAGGCCUUCGGGUUGUAAAGCCCUUUUAUUGGGAAAGAAAAGCAGCAGCUUAAUACCCCGCUGUGCUGACGGUACCCAAAGAAUAAGCACGGGCUAACUUCGUG
rnacentral:rRNA from 1 species